CCUACGGGUGGCAGCAGUGAGGAAUAUUGGUCAAUGGGCGGAAGCCUGAACCAGCCAAGUAGCGUGCGGGAUGAAGGCCCUACGGGUCGUAAACCGCUUUUGCACGGGGAUAACACCCUCCACUUGUGGAGGUCUGCAGGUACCGUGCGAAUAAGGGCCGGCUAAUUCCGUGCCAGCAGCCGCGGUAAUACGGAAGGCCCGAGCGUUAUCCGGAUUCAUUGGGGUUAAAGGGAGCGUAGGCGGGCGUUCAAGUCAGCUGGAAAAUCGCGCGGCUCAACCGCGCCCCGCAGUUGAAACUGGACGCCUUGAGUACACAACAGGCAGGCGGAAUUCGUGGUGUAGCGGUGAAAUGCAUAGAUAUCACGCGGAACCCCGAUUGCGAAGGCAGCCUGCCGGGGUGCGACUGACGCUGAGGCUCGAAGGUGCGGGUAUCAAACAGGAUUGGAUACCCCUGUAGUC
rnacentral:rRNA from 1 species